rnacentral:pre_miRNA from 19 species
UCCCACCGUUUUUGGCAAUGGUAGAACUCACACUGGUGAGGUAAUGGGAUCCGGUGGUUCUAGACUUGCCAACUAUGGUGCGAGG